UCCUAGCAUGUUCAUCCUGCCAGUAGCAGUGUUCAUGACGGCGAACCCAGAUAGCAGGUGUGGUUCCGGGUUCGCCACGGACAUCGGUGCCCAAUCAGUCGUGGCAGGGCGAGGUCAACGUCCUGGCCUCCUUGGCAGUGCCCCCAAGGCUCGCUGUUCUUCUCAAGCAAUGCAAAUGAUAUGUGGUAGUAGGUAUACGGGGCCAAGUGGCCAAUCAACCGAUGUGUGGUCGCGAUACGAGGUCGACGAUGGCAAGCUGUCUGCAGACUUCACGUCGUCGGAGGCUCGCCGCGCGUUGGUCAUCAGGUAUUCAGGUCGCUUGCUACCACUGAGCACACGAGCCACAAGUAGAGCAGCGCGGCAGAUUCGAUCGAAUUCGCGUGCCGCCGCCGCGCUGCUGUCCAAGCAGGGCAAGCACGGAACCAACUCCGGCCACUCCUGGUGCUCCGGUGGCGGAGCCGAGCCGAGCGGUCGCCGGCGUCGCUGUCGGGCCGACGACGGACCGGCCGGCGAGCGCCUCGCGUUCCCUCUUCCCCUCCGCUGCCCGCUCGCCCGACGGCGACGCGCGGCUGCCUUUAACGCGCGCCGGCCGGCCGGUGCCACCUCGGCGACGUGCCUGUCAGGCGCUCUGUCUGGUUGUGCUGUAUUGCCCAUUUGCCCUGCGCAAGUGGGCGGUCCCGCACGGAGCACGGUCGGCCUCCGGCCUCGUCACGUGGCGCAGGGGUCGGAUACUCGGAUCGGACAGGGAGCUCGGCGACCUGGACAGCAGAAGGGAGGAACAGGAUCGGAAGGAAUCUCUCCGUGGGCACGAGAGUACAGGAUGGAAGCGGCGGUUUCCCCCUUUUUCCUUUAGGCCUUCCAAGCGAUUGAUUGGCCACGGCUGGCAAUUUGGAAUCCUCUGAAUCAGUCCCCACUCCGAGCUCGCUCUGAACUCUGAAGAAGGAAAGGAAGCCUCUGAUGAUCUGAAGUUCUGAACCCUGCCCGCCUGCCCAUCCGCCCAUCUCACGGAGACGGGUCUUUCAUCAUCAGUCACGACGACCCUGCCUGUGUCACCAAGCUGCCCCUCUCGCAUGAUAUCUGAAGCAGCUGGGCUUCUCCUCUAUAUGGAGUUGAGCUGACACAAAACCUGUGCGAUUUUGUCAUUCAUUUGUGGCCAGUAGAGGAAAGAGGGGCAGCAACCGAAUCGGAAUCCAUAUCGCCCUACUAUGGCAAGAGGCUAGCGUACUGUACGGAAGUAAAGUAAACAACUGAAUCAGAGUCCAGAUUCUCCAAGAACCUGGCUGUCCCAUGCUCUGUUGCAGGUAAGUUUUGAUCCCGCUGGAGCCAGCCGAUAUCAUCUGCCGAACCACGGGCAGUCUUCCGAGCACGCUCUACAAGGUUGCACAAGAUAUCAAAGGAACAUAUUAUGUUAUGGAAGACUAUUACAUAUGCUAAAUUUGAUUUUCCAUCCAGUUUUAGUAAAAAAAAAUUGCAUCAGAGAAUGGCAUCCGAGUUCUACUCUCAAAUGUAGAGUUUACUCUUCAGUAUGGGCAAGACAGAUCCACAGCAUGACAAAUUCUAUGAUUAGUGCAAGACUACAUGCAUUGACUCCUUAAUGCGUAGAUUAGGACUUGCAUCAGAAUGAACAAACUAUAAAGAUUCUAGAGCAAACUGUACCCUUGAUGUGAAAAACAUGUGUUUUCCUGAAAAACAGUGAAGCUCCAUUCUGAAAAACAUGUGAAGGCACCAUUUGACUUGUGUUUUCCUGAGAGGGGCUUCCACCGCAACCUGCCUGACCAAGAGAUGAAUUGGUGCCGGCAGACUCUACGGAAGCAGUCUGAACAGAAAGCUUGUCUGCUGCUGUAAAAGAUAUCAGGAGGAAAGAUGGACGAAAAAUCAUAUUGCGAAACCAAUGGACUGAUGUUCCCUCAGGUUCCGUUUCUUCAAAUCUGACUGAUUUUUACGCAUUCA